rnacentral:rRNA from 1 species
UACGGAGGGUGCAAGCGUUAUCCGGAUUCACUGGGUUUAAAGGGUGCGUAGGUGGGCAGGUAAGUCAGUGGUGAAAUCCUGUAGCUUAACUACAGAACUGCCAUUGAUACUAUUUGUCUUGAAUACCCUGGAGGUGAGCGGAAUAUGUCAUGUAGCGGUGAAAUGCUUAGACAUGACAUAGAACAUCUAUUGCGAAGGCAGCUCACUACGGGAAUAUUGACGCUGAGGCACGAAAGCGUGGGGAUCAAACAGG